rnacentral:rRNA from 1 species
GACGAACGCUGGCGGCGUGCUUAACACAUGCAAGUCGAGCGGUAAGGCCCUUUCGGGGGUACACGAGCGGCGAACGGGUGAGUAACACGUGGGUGACCUGCCCUCAGCUCUGGGAUAAGCCUGGGAAACCGGGUCUAAUACCGGAUAUGACUCCAUGACGCAUGUUGUGGGGUGGAAAGCCUUGUGCGGCUGAGGAUGGGCCCGCGGCCUAUCAGCUUGUUGGUGGGGUGAUGGCCUACCAAGGCGACGACGGGUAGCCGGCCUCGAGAGGGCGACCGGCCACACUGGGACUGAGACACGGCCCAGACUCCUACGGGAGGCAGCAGUGGGGAAUCUUGCGCAAUGGGCGAAAGCCUGACGCAGCGACGCCGCGUGAGGGAUGACGGCCU